AUUGAACGCUGGCGGCAUGCCUUACACAUGCAAGUCGAACGGUAACAGGUCUUCGGAUGCUGACGAGUGGCGAACGGGUGAGUAAUACAUCGGAACGUGCCCAGACGUGGGGGUUAACGAGGCUAAAGCUUUGCUAAUACCGCAUCCGAUCUGAGGAUGAAAGCCGGGGACCGCAAGGCCUUGUUUGUUUGGAGCGGCCGAUGGCAGCGUAGGUUGUUGGUGGGAUAAAAGGUUACCAAGCCGACGAUCUGUAGCUGUUCUGGGCGUACGGCCAGCCACACGGGGACGGAGACACGGCCCAGACGCCUACGGGAGGCAGCAGUGGGGAAUUGUGGACAAUGGGCGAAAGCCUGAUCCAGCAGGGCCGCGUGCAAGAUGAAGGCCUUCGGGUUGUAAACUGCGUUUGUACGGAACGAAAAGGCUCUGGCUAAUACCUAGGGCACAUGACGGUACCGGAAGAAUAAGCACCGGCUAACUACGUG
rnacentral:rRNA from 1 species